AUUAUUAACUGGAGCUGUAAGCUAACUCUUUUUUCAGAGAGAGGUAGUGGGGGACAGCCCCCCGUAAAGUCAGAGGUGUAGGUGAAAGCACAAAGCAGAAAGUAGGCAGACUCUGGUUUUGGGGGUAGAUGCUUGAGAAUUUCCAGGGGGACUCCUGAGGCUCGAUCCCGCCUUUGCGUAUGCCGAGCCUCCUUCCUCAUGACCUUUGCCACUGGCUCCCGGCAGUGAUAGAAUUCCAGUUGAGCUAUUCCAGAUCCUGAAAGAUGAUGCUGUGGAAAGUGCUGCACUCAAUAUGCAAUAUGCAAUAUGCCGGCUCCCGGCAAAUUGCCAUUUCCUUCUCCAGGGGAUCUUCCCAACCCAGGGAUCGAACGCACGUCUCUCAUGUCUCCUGCAUUUGCAGGUGGGUUCCCAGUAGCACCACCCGGGAAGCCCCCAUUUCUGUAUGGUUGUGCCCUAAUCCCGGUCUUACUAACUCAUUACUAAGAGACCCCAGCUUCUUGGUGAAAUAUCAGUGGACAGAAGGAGGGAAAAAAAAUGCAGAGCUUUUCAGCCAGUGCUAUGAGAUUUGUAGUCUGGUUACUUUUCUCCCCUGCAAUGAAAAUAAACUGGAAAGAGAAAACCGGGUAAGUGAAGUAAAAUGAUGAUGAGGUCUCGCCUCUUGAUAGACUAUCUUCAGGGAAUAAUAAUGAAAUUCACAAUGGAGAAUUUCAUGACACACGAUUUCCAUUUGGGAAAAUCUUUAUGCUCCUUGGAGCAACCAGUUUAAGGUUUGUUUGGAGUUAUUUUCUUCCUUUUUGAGGGGGAGAGUGAAAUGCUGGUCUAACAUUGAUGUUAUAAAAUCCUGGGAAAUACAUAAAGUCUAAGAACCAUAGCAAUUAGAGAUGGAGAAAGCCCAUUAUAUCAUCCCUCAGGCCCAGGGGAAUCAGUGGAGAGUCUGUCCUAGGAUAGAUUUUCUAGUUCUUUAGUCUGUUGACUUUCAAACAACUCCUGGGAUGGGGUUUCCACCACUUCCUUUAUUACAUGUUUCCCCAAUCUCAUAAUUUUUGCUGUCAUAAUUCUUCAGGAUGCUGAGUCUAAAUCCUCCUUUUCUGAAAAUUACAACUGCUCUCUUUACUCAAAGUUGUGUCCACUUGUUGGGAUGAACACUUCACUCUUUUGAAGCUGCAAGCAUUUUCCUUUUUUUUUUUUUUUUUAAGCAGGAUUCUCUGAUUCUCUCUUCUCUACAAACCACUGUAGCGCAGGUGGGGCAGGGAACGUGUUCAAGGAAUCUUGGCAAAUGGAGUUUUAGCCUGUUUUGAGCUUUGAUGUUUCAGAAUUCCAUCACCAGAGCUCCUCUGGAUGCUUCAGGGAGUACGGUGCCAGGCUGAGAUUUCUUAGUGCCACACGCGAGUGUGCAGUUCACACUAGCAUCCCUAGCAUGAACCUCAACAAACGUACGUCGUCCUACAUCGGGUAGCUUAUCCCUUCUCCAGGAAAUCUUUCCCACCCAGGAAUUGAACUGGGAUCUCCUGCAUUGCAGGUGAGUUAUUUAUCAGCUGAUCUAUCAGGGAAGCCCAUACCUAUAUCCCCCCUCUUUUUUUUCAGAUUCUUUUCCUGUAUAGGUCAUUACAGAGUACUGAGUAGAGUUCCCUGUGCUAUACAGUAGGUCCUUUUUAGUUAUCUGUUUUGUAAUAGCAGUGUGUAGAUGUCAAUCCCCACUUCCCAAUUUAUCCCUCCUCACCCCCUUUUCCUCUUGGGAACCAUAAGUUUAUUUUCUAUAUGUGUGACCCUAUUUCCGUUUCAUAAAUAAGUUCACUUGUACCAUUUAAAAAAAUAUUCCACAGAUAAAUGAUAUCAUAUGAUAUCUGUCUUUUUCUGUCUGACUGUUUCUGAUGCCCCACGUCCUGUGCCUUUGAGAGUGUCUUUCCCCUCCUCUGGUACUCAAGUUUCUUAAAGUCUGAAACAGAGAAGUUUGGCAGAUAAGAGGUGGCAAGGGAAUUUCCACGGAAUGACUUUUCCUGCUGGGUUUACUCUUUUUAAAUUGUAUUUAUUUUAUCUCUGGUUGUGUUGGGUCUUCGUUGCUGCAUGCGGGCUUUCUCUAGUUGUGGCCGGCUGAGUUUCCUCUCUAGUUGAGGUGCACAGGUGUCUCUGGUUGAGGAGCACAGGCUUUAGAGCACUCAGGUUUCAGUAGCUGCGGUGCACAGGCUUAAUGGCCGCAUGAUAUCUGGAAUCUUCCUGAACCAGGGAUGGAUCCUGUGGUCCCCCGCACUGGCAGGUCAGAUUUUUAAUCACUGGACACCACCUGGAAAGCCCAUGUUUUUUUUUUAAGUCAGUAGAUUUUUCAUAUACCAAUCUGGCUUUUUCAACUCUCCCAGAUGCCCCCUGCUCACCUCCUCACAUUCGUCUCCAUCCCCGCUCCAUCUUGUAGCACCAUAGCUCUUGCCAUCCACGCUGCAGGUACCCAGCUCUCAGAUUCUGGCUGUAUCAGCUCCUCCUCUUUGAGCAAUUUUUUUUUUUUUGUUAUUUGCUGGUGAAAGCCUUCUGAACCACUGGCUCAUUUUCUAGAUGAGAAGAUCUGGCAACCCCUAGCCAAAAUUUGCUCCUGGCCACAGUGAGCUGGAACCCGUAGGGGCUGCUGGCUGCUCCCUUUCAAUGAAUCCACUCCGUGAUGGAAACGGUGGGGGUUCAGAAGAUCCAAUGCUGGGAGAGACUCCGAGGGAAAUUCAAGGUUUGGUGCUUGGAAAGUCACAGACCUUCACGGCACAGGGAUUGAAAGAUCGUUCCUUGCUUCCAGCUAGAAUGCAAGCUCAAGAGGAAUUUUAUCUUGCUCAUCAGUCUAUCCCAAAACCUAGAAAGGCAUCUGCCCCAAAAGAAGUGCUCAACAAGUGUUUGUAGAAUGAAUAAACAAUUACCUUCAGCUAUCAAUUUGUACUUUUGAGACAGGGUGGGACCUGGGGCCCAUUACUGCAGUGCUUGCACCUGGACGAACGUCUCCUCAAGAAACAAAAUACAAAGAAAACUAUAACGUAUUAAAAUAAUUGCAUGUGUGCCCAUUUGGGAAAAAUUAUGGACAAUAAAUUACUAUGAAAAGACCAAAGACCCUGAGGAGGAGCUGGGAGCAAAAGCAGGGUACUGCAUACUGCACUUGUAUGCUGCACACAGCAGACCACCUAAACCACCCCUCUGACCUGAUCCUGGGCGCACCCCUAUCCUUACUCCAUUUAAGAAACCAGCUCACCCCCUCUUGGAGAGCUAGGAAGCAAAGGAACCUGUUACUUGUUCUUGUUCCCCCCUGCUGCCACAGGGUCCCCAAUAAAGCCUAGCCUAAAUUUCUUGUUUGGCUUCUCAUCAAUUUCUAUUGAUUCUUAAGAGGCCAAGAGGGGCUUCCCUGGUGGCUCAGCAGUAAAGAAUCUGCCUGCAGUGCAGGAGACAUGGGUUCAAAAUGGUAACCCACUCCAGGAUUCUUGCCUGGGAAUCUCCAUGGGUAGAGGAGACUGGUAGACUGCUGUCCAUGGCGUCACAAAGAGUCAGACAUGACUUAACGACCAAACAGCGGAAAUGAGAGGGCAAGAACCCUGGUUGGUAACAGUUUGAUAAGGAUAAUUGGUACUUAAUUUUAUGUAAAGCACAUUGCAAAAUGGAGUUUCAAGACAGUUAUGAAAGCCACACUCACUCUCCAAUUUACCUUUUAAAUUGGAUUUUGACCUAAAGAUACUCUUACAGAGAAAUUUAAAGCCACCACUAUCGAAGGCCAUUUGGUCCAACUGAUGCGUGGAUCCCCUUCUUGGCCAUCCUGCCAGUUACCCUUCAGCCUUUGCUUGAAUACCUCUAGGAACAGAGGCUCAUUUUUUUCAAGAGCAGUCUUCUUGUGCAGCUCUGACUGUCAGAAUGCUCUUGCUUGAAUUUAACUAAUUUUUUUUUUUUUUCUCUAGUCUUGGUUGUUGCUGCUGCUAAGUCGCUUCAGUCGUGUCCGACUCUGUGCGACCCCAUAGACGGCAGCCCACCAGGCUCCCCCGUCCCUGGGAUUCUCCAGGCAAGAACACUGGAGUGGGUUGCCAUUUCCUUCUCCAAUGCAUGAAAGUGAAAAGUGAAAGUGAAGUCACUCAGUCGUGUCCGACUCCUAGUGACCCCAUGGACUGCAGCCCACCAGGACUCUCCGUCCAUGGGAUUUUCCAGGCAAGAGUACUGGCGUGGGUUGCCAUUGCCUUCUCUGAGUCUUGGUUAUUAGGAGCAAAUAAAUCUUUCUUUCCACUGGGCAAUACUUUAGAUAUCUUGAGACAUGUAACACAUCCCUCCCAAACUUUCUCUUCCAUAUGUGAAAUGUUCCUUGUUCCUUUCUACACCUAGAAACAUACCACAGAUUCUCCAACUCAGGAGUCGCAGGUAUUCACCUUGAG
ensembl:lncRNA